GGAGAGGCAACCCGGCUCAGCUCCUCCUCGGUCCCCGCGCCAGCUUGGCGAUUCACCGCCGAAGGAGCAGGGCGCUUCUACCGCUUCCACCGAAGCAGGAAGGACGGAAGGGGAAGCCAGACAGAAAGGGAGCUGGCUGCCAAUAUAAAGUCUGUCUUCCGCUCUGCCCACCUAUACGAAAUGCUCCCAGAGACAAUGUGAGAAGGCCUGCAAUUUUCUGUGCUUCUGGCAAUGGAAAGGAGAAGUAGAUAAGGAAAGAUCCCCCUCCAGAUGAUGAAUGCUACCCGAGCUCAUAUCGGUGAAGGGAACCUGUGCUAUUCGGUCGAAUGCAACCGCCCUUGCAAGACGUGGCUUGUCAGCGCUACUCAUCGAAGUGUAAACCCAUCUCUGAAGACCCGGCAGGCAGAAGUACUCUCCCCACCCCAACCCCACCCACGGACUUUGCAGCAUCAGUCCAUUUGUACACUCGGAUCUCUAAGGAAAACAGCAUCAUCGACGUGAAUGACAGGUACGCCCGAUGCUUGCUGCAGCGGGAGCCGGGGAGCGGGCCGUCAGAUGCUCCGCCGGGGCUGUCCACUCCGCGGGCACUGCAAACUUCAGGGAAGGUCACUCUUGGAGCCAACGCGGACUUGACAAAACAGUUGACAAUUAGGGCAAAGCACGUACGGCAGAAUCAUUAGAACUCACAGAAGCCCAGGCCCCAGCGGCGACACCGCGGCGUGGCGAUGCCCCCAUGGCUUCGGAAAUACCAGCUAUCCCUUUAAAAAGUACCCCCCGCAGGCCGGAAGUGACCGCACGGCGCCACGAAUCGAGCCCCUCGGUGCAGCGCGGCCUCGAGCCUCGCGCACGUCCGCGGUCCCGUGGGUUUCCUGCUCUUGCUGCAGUUCUCCGCCGCCAGUCCUCUCCGCGCGGGCAGUUCGGUCACUAAAUCUCAGAGACCCGGCGCCUCCCCCACGCUCCAGCGUACGCCAGGCCUGCUUCCGGGUUCGGCCUGCGCUCCCGGCCCGCUCUAGUGACGCACUUCCGGUGGUGACCAGGCUCGGCUCCGCCCCAAGCUGACACGCGGGCUGAUCGGGUUCCCAGCCGUGCACUGUGCUGGGAGGACAGCGAAUUCCUGCACCGGGGACCAACUGCUCCGCCACGGCUCGGUUUCUGGGGUUUCUUACCGUCCUGGGCGGAAAUGGAUAGAAUCCGCCAGACCACACGACCCGGAGCCUAACUCUCCAGCCCUGUGACCGCGGCCGUCUGUGUCAAGCUCUCCCUUGGCUUUGCCCAGGGCCCUUGUCACUUGACGCUGGUACCUUCAGAAGUUGAAAGGGUUUGCCAGAGGCAUCUCAACCACCCUUUCUUAGACUGGCUUUGAAAUGGUGUCACCCACCCUCUUGGACUGAAUAUCUCAGGUCAUCUUAGGGUUUCCUCCCGGAAUUACUUAGUUUUACACAUUCUGGUUCAUCCUCUUCUCAUAGGUUGUGUUUUUUGGAUCGAGAAGUUCAGGCAGAAAGCGUUCACUUUCAGUUUUUCCUUGUAUCUCUCACGAUGCUGUAUGACUUGACCUCAUAAUCUGGUGUCUGGUUAAGUUCUUUACUUUUCACCCCUCCACAGGGCUGUUUGGAUUGUUUCUUUUGCAAUAACGUAUUAUACCGUUUAGAAAGCACAGGAAACACAGCCUGGGCGAGUUGGGUGUUUCCUGCUGAAAAUUGUGAAUAUAACGUUUCAUG
ensembl:lincRNA A930029G22Rik RIKEN cDNA A930029G22 gene